AUGGCCUUCUUUGAAUUCUUGCAAAACCUCUCUGCAAUUCCUGAAGCCUCCACGACACUGUGUUUUCCCGGAACAGUCCUGCUGUUGACGCAUGUGGAGGCGUGGGCCCUCGCUCUGAAGCGUGUCCAGCCCCACUUGUGCGGCCUUUCAUCCGCUGAGCCCCCAAGGAGCUGCUGGCCCGCACUUGGCUUCUGCAGAAGUGAGCCUCUGCCGACCGCCUUCUGGUCCAGGUCAGAACCAGAACCGCACUCAGGGCCCACGACCCCCAGCUCUCCGCUGAGGGAGUUUCCACUCUCUGGCUGGGGCGGACAGCGGACGCACAAAACAACGAGGCGCUGGGCGAGCAACGCGGCAGGUGGGGCUCCGCGUGCUUCUCUGCUCUCCCCUGCCGCCCCCGCCCUCCCUCACAGCGCCUCAACCCCACUGACCCUCGGCCCGUUCCCCCCCCCCACGACCUUUGUCCCCGGGGUGGUCUUCUGCUGCCCUGCAGGUGGCUGGACCCUGCAGUGACGUCAUCCGCCCGAGCUCCUGUCACAGUUGUCUUGGCUACUUCUGUUCUCCCUGCUCUACACUGCAAGUCCCGAGAGGGCACACACCCUCUGUGUCUGGUUUGCACACUGCCCUAGCCCAUCCCACGGACCUCAACCAAGGUGGGAUGAUGAAAGAGCAAUUGGGGGAAUGCAAGGCAGACCCUCAGUGGAGUCAACAGAAAGAGAUGGCAGAGGUAAGAGUACUAAUUCCACUGGGAGUCCGGGGUGGCUUCCCGGGGGAGGUGGUAUUUGAGCUCGGAGAAUCCUCCAGCUGCGGCCCACACAAUGUCCUCCCAUCUCCUGUGGAAGUUCACGGGCUGUGUGUUAACUCAACACAGGGGUCGGGUUCCACAGUGACCGGAUGGUGCAGAUCAUCCAAGUGUUUUAACACUUGGAACUGGAUCGGCAGUUUCCAGGGGAACCCAGAAUCGGAGUGUGUGAUUGUUGGGAGGGGGAUUUGGGGGUAGACAAGUACUGGCUAUGGAGAGAGCUUGGUAGUAGAACCUCUGUGUGUGCGCACACAUGUGUGCAGGUGUGUGCAUGUGUAAGUGUGUCUUCCAAAGCAUAUCUUCCAGGAACCGUGGUAUCCGAUGCGAGCAAAUAUUUGAUCAGUGUCUUCUCCGUGCAGGGCCUCUGCCUUCCGUUUGUGUGAACCCACACACACUGCACCUCCACCCCACCCCCAACAGUAAGGGGCCCCAUGCGUAUGCUCCCAGCCUGCGGACCGAGUCCUGCCCCUGCAGCCACAUGGAGACCACCCUGGGGAAGGGGCUGGGGGCCCGCUGGUGUCCCCGUGGUGAGGAGUGCCUGCGCUGUCACUGGUUCUUCCCGGUGUGUGGGCUGCUGGUGAGGACCUCAUCCUCCCUCAGGACUGAGACAGCGUGGGGAGGAGGAGGGGCAGCCGCGCGUGCCGUCCCAGCUCCUCCUCUUCCCUCCACCUGUGACUACUCCGGACCUCAGCAUCCUGUAAAACAGCAACUCCUGACAAGCGCCGCCGCGACUCCCAACAACUGACGCUGCAAAGAAAAACCUCUCCCAUCUCCGAGACCCGACGAGGUGACCAGAGCCGGAGUGAGGGCCGGGGACACCCGCAAAACAGGCAAACAGGACGUCAGCCAAGAGCCAGGAGCAAUGGCAGCUGCAUGGCAGGGCUGGGAAGGGGGCGUUGUCGGGAGGCUCCGUAAGGCCAGGGUGAGAACACACGGCGGGGAGGGCUCCACGGAGGUAAUGUGGAAAACCACACUCGGAGUUCAAAUGUUUUUGCGCCAAAGUAAACUCUUAUUUUUAAAGAUCUAUUUAUUUAUUUGAAAGUCAGAGUUUGGGGGCAGGGGAGGGAGAAACAGAGAGAGAGAGAGAGAGAGAGAGAGCGCGCGAGCGAGCAAGCUUCCAUCUGUCAGUUUACUCCCCAGAUCGGAAGUGGAGCAGCCAGGUCUUGAACUGGUACCCAUAUGGGAUGCAGGCAGUGAGUUUACCCACUAUGGCACAAUGCUGACCCCAAACUUGUCUUUUUAUUUCGUUUUUCCAUAAAUUUUUUGAAGUCCUCUAGUAUGUCUAGUAUGUAGCAGUCAGAGAGAAAAUUCCGCACUGAAAAUCAAAUGUAUGUUUUUUUAUGAAAAUGUCAGUUGCUAAAACUAAAAAACUCCUGGGAAAAAUCGGAAGAAAGUCAGUGAAAGACAUCUCAACACAAUUUGCAUCUUUUAGGAAAAGCGACCGGUUUAAAUAGCUUCAUGGAGUAUUUUUCCCCCAAACAAUUAAAAAAUUUAUUUCAAGAAAUAAGUCAUUUCCAAGAUGUAUCAAUUAUUUCAGAAUGUUCAAAAAAGCAUUAAAUGAUAUCAACUUACAAAUUAGAAUAUUGCUAACAACCAUCUUUGCUGAAGAUCAUAUGCAAAAUAUACAUCGAGAAGACGAGAUCCCCAGUGAAUUUACAUGUGAAAAUUCCAAAUUAAUAUGGACAUGUAUCAGGCUUCAGAAUUAUGUUAACAAGAUAAUGAGCUAUGAUUAAGUGGGGUUUGCGGGAGUUGAAACCUUUUAACAUAUUUACCAAGUGAAAAAUCAUAAGAAAAAAUAUGAUUCUACCUUUUAAAUUGUAGCUACAUAAAGAAAUCUGAAAAGCAAGAACAUUAAACUGGAAUUCAAGAAAACAAACAGCUCUUACUCUCCCCAAGGCCAUGGAGACAAGGACGAGGAAGAGGACUGGCAGGGAGGGGCUGCGAGCCUCCCCCCCCACCCCGGGAGCUCCCGAGGUUGCAGAACACAAACUCUCCCAGGGAGCAGACACCUGCCCCCACGUUCUUUUCCCAGAUGUGGCUCCUGGAAAAUGCGGGCCCCGGGAGGCAGUGGGGAUGGCUCAUGGAAGCAGAUCCCUGCCACCCACCUGGGAGACCUGGACUGAAUCGUGGCUCCCAAUCUCAGCACAGCCCAUCUCAGCCAUUGAGGACUUUAUGGGAGUGAACCAGCAGAGGAGAGCACGUUGUGUGUGUGUGUGUGUAUGUGUGUCACUCUUUGUUUUUUUGUUUGUUUGUUUUUUUGUUUUUGUUUUGACAGGCAGAGUUAGACAGUGAGAGAGAGAGAGACAGACAGAAAGGUCUUCCUUCCGUUGGUUCACCCCCCAAAUGGCUGCUAUGGCCGGCGCACUGCACCAAUCCGAAGCCAGGAUCCAGGUGCUUCCUCCUGGUCUCCCAUGUGGGUGCAGGGCCCAAGCACUUGGGCCAUCCUCCACUGCCUUCCCAGGCCACAGCAGAGAGCUGGACUGGAAGAGGAGCAACCGGGACAGAACCAACGCCCCAACCAGGACUAGAACUCAGGGUGCCGGCGCCGCAGGUGGAGGAUUAGCCUAGUGAGCCGUGGUGCUGGCCUCUCUGACUUUCAAAUACAUGAAUCUUUUUUCAAAGUAUUUUUAAACAAAGGAGACAACAAGACAAGUCAAAAAAAAAAAAAAGGCAAAUCCUUUUACUGACCAUUCACCCAAGAAGAUCUAUGAGUGGCCAAUAUCAUGAAUACAGACUAAUCGAUAAUAAUUAUUGCUAAUAAUAUUUGCAUGGAUUAAAGACAUGCCAAUCAAAAUCAGGAGCGAUCUCACUAUCUACACCUGUUGGAAAGACUCAAUCAAGAAGACUGACCAUGUCGAAGGUUGGAAAAAAACGUUGUGACACCGGAAUCCUUACAGGAUGUAACUAACACCCUCUGUUGCUGUUCUGGGGUUUCUGAACGAUGCUCGCAGCCGGGAGCGUUGCAGGGGCUGCUCGGGCAGAAUUCGAGCUCAGUGUUUGUUCUGUUCCUGGGUUGCUGCGACCUUUUCCUUGCACAGAGCGCAUACCGCAUCGCUAAUGUUUCACAACUCCUCCCAGCGAGACAGGACACACGGCUCUCACCACAGUUCCUGGCAGGCAGCAGGUACUUGCUAUGUACAGGAGCCCUUCAUAAAGUGUGUGCAAAAGUGGAACAAAAAGAAAAGUUUACUUUGAGCCAGAGAAAUUUGAAAUCCAUGUAUAGCUUUUGCAUCAUGUGUGUGUUCUGCAAGUUUUUUUGGAAACCCCUUGAAGCCACAGAUUUCAAAUAUUUUUGCACCAAAAUAAAUGUAUCUUUUAAUUCUAUUUCCCA
rnacentral:lncRNA from 1 species